UCCGGUUGAUCCUGCCGGACCCGACCCGCUAUCGGGGUGGGGCUAAGCCAUGGGAGUCGUGCACCCCGCCGCUGCGGGGCGUGGCGGACGGCUGAGUAACACGUGGCUAACCUACCCUCGGGAGGGGGAUAACACCGGGAAACUGGUGCUAAUCCCCCUAAGGGGAGGAGGCCUGGAAGGGUUCCUCCCCGAAAGGGUGCGGCGGGGGUUAUACGCCGCCGUGCCGCCCGAGGAUGGGGCUGCGGCCCAUCAGGUAGUUGGCGGGGUAACGGCCCGCCAAGCCGAUAACGGGUAGGGGCCGUGAGAGCGGGAGCCCCCAGAUGGGCACUGGAGACAAGGGCCCAGGCCCUUACGGGGCGCACCAGGCGCGAAACCUUCCGCAUGCGGGCAACCGUGACGGGGUCACCCCGAGUGCCCCCUAUAUGGGGGCUUUUCCCCGCUGUAGGAAGGCGGGGGAAUAAGCGGGGGGCAAGUCUGGUGUCAGCCGCCGCGGUAAUACCAGCCCCGCGAGUGGUCGGGACGGUUAUUGGGCCUUAAAGCGCCCGUAGCCGGCCUGGUAAGUCCCCCUCUAAAUCCCCGGGCUCAACCCGGGGGUUGGGGGGGAUACUGCCAGGCUAGGGGGCGGGAGAGGCCGAGGGUACUCCCGGGGUAGGGGCGGAAAUCCUGUAAUCCCGGGAGGACCGCCAGUGGCGAAGGCGCCCGGCUGGAACGCGCCCGACGGUGAGGGGCGAAAGUCGGGGGAGCAAAGGGGAUUAGAUACCCCCGUAGUCCUAGCUGUAAACGAUGCGGGCUAGGUGUUGGGCGAGCCUCGAGUCCGCCCAGUGCCGUAGGGAAGCCGUUAAGCCCGCCGCUUGGGGAGUACGGCCGCAAGGCUGAAACUUAAAGGAAUUGGCGGG
rnacentral:rRNA from 1 species